AUUGAACGCUGGCGGCAUGCUUUACACAUGCAAGUCGAACGGUAACAGGCCUUCGGGUGCUGACGAGUGGCGAACGGGUGAGUAAUGCAUCGGAACGUACCCAGAGGUGGGGGAUAACGCAGCGAAAGCUGUGCUAAUACCGCAUGUGAUCUGAGGAUGAAAGCGGGGGACCGAGCAGCAAUGUUUGGCCUCGCGCCUUUGGAGCGGCCGAUGUCGGAUUAGCUAGUUGGUGGGGUAAAGGCCUACCAAGGCGACGAUCCGUAGCUGGUCUGAGAGGACGACCAGCCACACUGGGACUGAGACACGGCCCAGACUCCUACGGGAGGCAGCAGCGGGGAAUGUUGGACAAUGGGCGCAAGCCUGAUCCAGCAAUGCCGCGUGCGGGAAGAAGGCCUUCGGGUUGUAAACCGCUUUUGGCAGGAACGAAACGGUGUCCGCUAAUACCGGGCGCUAAUGACGGUACCUGCAGAAUAAGCACCGGCUAACUACGUG
rnacentral:rRNA from 1 species